rnacentral:rRNA from 1 species
UACGUAGGGUGCAGGCGUUAAUCGGAAUUACUGGGCGUAAAGCGCGCGCAGGCGGUCCUUUAAGUCUGAUGUGAAAGCCCACGGCUCAACCGUGGAGGGUCAUUGGAAACUGGGGGACUUGAGUGCAGGAGAGAAGAGUGGAAUUCCACGUGUAGCGGUGAAAUGCGUAGAGAUGUGGAGGAACACCAGUGGCGAAGGCGACUCUCUGGGCUGUAACUGACGCUGAGGCGCGAAAGCGUGGGGAGCAAACAGG